rnacentral:rRNA from 1 species
AUUGAACGCUGGCGGCAGGCCUAACACAUGCAAGUCGAGCGGAUGAAGGGAGCUUGCUCCUGGAUUCAGCGGCGGACGGGUGAGUAAUGCCUAGGAAUCUGCCUGGUAGUGGGGUAUAACGUCCGGAAACGGGCGCUAAUACCGCAUACGUCCUGAGGGAGAAAGUGGGGGAUCUUCGGACCUCACGCUAUCAGAUGAGCCUAGGUCGGAUUAGCUAGUUGGUGGGGUAAAGGCCUACCAAGGCGACGAACCGUAACUGGUCUGAGAGGAUGAUCAGUCACACUGGAACUGAGACACGGUCCAGACUCCUACGGGAGGCAGCAGUGGGGAAUAUUGGACAAUGGGCGAAAGCCUGAUCCAGCCAUGCCGCGUGUGUGAAGAAGGUCUUCGGAUUGUAAAGCACUUUAAGUUGGGAGGAAGGGCAGUAAGUUAAUACCUUGCUGUUUUGACGUUACCAACAGAAUAAGCACCGGCUAACUUCGUG